AUCUCCUACGGGGGGCAGCAGUGAGGAAUAUUGGUCAAUGGUCGGGAGACUGAACCAGCCAAGCCGCGUGAGGGAGGAAGGUACAGAGUAUCGUAAACCUCUUUUGUCAGGGAACAAAGACUGGGACGCGUCCCCGGAUGAGUGUACCUGAAGAAAAAGCAUCGGCUAACUCCGUGCCAGCAGCCGCGGUAAUACGGAGGAUGCGAGCGUUAUCCGGAUUGAUUGGGUUUAAAGGGUGCGCAGGCGGCCUGUUAAGUCAGCGGUAAAAGCCCGGGGCUCAACCCCGGCGAGCCGUUGAAACUGGG
rnacentral:rRNA from 1 species